rnacentral:tRNA from 1 species
GCGAAAUUAGCUCAGUGGGUAGAGCAUACGACAUGACUCGUAGUGUCGCCGGUUCGACUCCGGUAUUUCGACG